rnacentral:rRNA from 1 species
UAAAAGUCGUAACAAGGUUUCCGUAGGUGAACCCGCGGAAGGAUCAUUAAAGAGUAAGGGUGCUCAGCGCCCGACCUCCAACCCUUUGUUGUUAAAACUACCUUGUUGCUUUGGCGGGACCGCUCGGUCUCGAGCCGCUGGGGAUUCGUCCCAGGCGAGCGCCCGCCAGAGUUAAACCAAACUCUUGUUAUUUAACCGGUCGUCUGAGUUAAAAUUUUGAAUAAAUCAAAACUUUCAACAACGGAUCUCUUGGUUCUCGCAUCGAUGAAGAACGCAGCGAAAUGCGAUAAGUAAUGUGAAUUGCAGAAUUCAGUGAAUCAUCGAAUCUUUGAACGCACAUUGCGCCCCUUGGUAUUCCGAGGGGCAUGCCUGUUCGAGCGUCAUUACACCACUCAAGCUAUGCUUGGUAUUGGGUGCCGUCCUUAGUUGGGCGCGCCUUAAAGACCUCGGCGAGGCCUCACCGGCUUUAGGCGUAGUAGAAUUUAUUCGAACGUCUGUCAAAGGAGAGGACUUCUGCCGACUGAAACCUUUAUUUUUCUAGGUUGACCUCGGAUCAGGUAGGGAUACCCGCUGAACUUAAGCAUAUCAA